rnacentral:snRNA from 1 species
GCAUGUGAGGGUGAUCUGGAUGUGACAUAUGUCAUCCCAUUAAUCAUCAGGGUUGAUUUGGCUGAUCUGGCUAGGGAGGCAAGUGUCCCCUUCCUCCCUCACCACUUCAUGUGCUUCUCUCCCGAAGUUGCAUGCUCAGACUAAGACAACGAAUGACCUUCCCUAAUAGAGGAGGACAGUGUUUUUUUUUGGUCAGGGAUACAGCAGUAGCUGUGCUCUCCUGCUACAACCUCCAAACAAGCUCUCAAGAUCCAUUUGUAGGAGGAGGUAGGGUGGUCAAUCUUGAAUAAAUUUAAAACAAACAGACAAGCAAAAAGUGGUAUGU